UUUAAAUAUAAUAAAUAUUAAUAACUUAAUGGGGGUUAAAGUAUAUUAAUAGAAAAAAUUAAAAAUUUUAUAGUGGAUUAGUAUUGUAAAAGAAUUUUGAAAUAAUUGAAAAUAAAAUAAUGUAAAAGUAAUUUUAAUUUAGUGUAUCUUGUGUAUCAGAGUUUAUUAAAAAAGAUUUUUUUAAUAAAAAUUCUCGAAUUUAAGAGAGAUAAUUAAUUAAUAAAGUUAUUGUGGCAUAAAUAUUUUUAAUAAUUAAUUUGAAAUGAAAUGUUAAUCGUUCUUAAAUAUAUCUAGUUUUUUUAGAAAAAAAUUUAAUUUUAAAUUUAUUAAAUAAGUUUUUAAUUAAUUAAAAACUUAUUUAAUAAAUUUUAUAAUUUAAGGGAUAAGCUUUAAAUUAAAUUAAAUAUAAUUUAAAAAUAUUUUUUUUUUGAAAUUUAUAUGAUUUAUAUUGUUAAUUAAUUAUAAUUUAUUAUAAAUAAUUUCAUAAAUAUAUAAAAUUUAAUAAAAAUUUAUAAUAAUUAUAAAAAAAUAAUUUAAAAUAAUUUAAAAUUAGUUAUAAUGAUAAAAUUAGUAUAUAAUUUUUAUUUAUUUAAUUAUUAAUUAUAAUAAUUAUUUAAAAGGAAUUCGGCAAAAUUUUAUGUUCACUUGUUUAUCAAAAACAUGUCUUUUUGUAAAUAAUUUAAAGUCUAAUCUGCCCACUGAUUUUUAAUUAAAGGGCUGCAGUAUUUUGACUGUACAAAGGUAGCAUAAUCAUUAGUCAUUUAAUUGAUGACUUGUAUGAAAGAUUGGAUGAAAUAUAGACUGUCUCUUAAAUAAAAUGUAGAAUUUAAUUUUUUAAUUAAAAAGUUAAAAUAAAUUAAAAAGACGAGAAGACCCUAUAGAGUUUUAUAAAUGAAUUUUAUUGAAAUUAUUUUUAAAUUUUUAAAUAUUUAAAUAAUUUUAUUUAUUUUGUUGGGGUGAUAGAAAAAUAAGUAAAACUUUUUUUAUUUAUUAACAUAUAUAAGUGAGUUAUUGAUCCAGUAUUAUUGAUUAAAAGAAAAAAUUACCUUAGGGAUAACAGCGUAAUUUUUUUUUUUAGUUCAAAUAAGAAAAAGAGUUUGCGACCUCGAUGUUGGAUUAAGAUAAAAUUUAAAUGCAGAAGUUUAAAAUUUUGAUCUGUUCGAUCAUUAAAAUCUUACAUGAUCUGAGUUCAAACCGGUGUGAGCCAGGUUGGUUUCUAUCUUUUAAAAAAAAAAAUAUUUUAGUACGAAAGGAUUAAAUAUUUAAAUUAAAUUUAUUAAUUUGAAUUUUAUUAAAUAAUU
rnacentral:rRNA from 1 species